GAUGAAGAACGUAGUGAAAUGCGAUAAGUAAUGUGAAUUGCAGAAUUCAGUGAAUCAUCGAAUCUUUGAACGCACAUUGCGCCCGCCAGUAUUCUGGCGGGCAUGCCUGUCCGAGCGUCAUUUCAACCCUCGAACCCCUCCGGGGGGUCGGCGUUGGGGAUCGGCCCUUUACGGGGCCGGCCCCGAAAUUCAGUGGCGGUCUCGCCGCAGCCUCUCCUGCGCAGUAGUUUGCACACUCGCAUCGGGAGCGCGGCGCGUCCACAGCCGUUAAACACCCCAAACUUCUGAAAUGUUGACCUCGGAUCAGGUAGGAAUACCCGCUGAACUUAAGCAUAUCAAUAAGCGGAGGA
rnacentral:misc_RNA from 1 species